AUUGAACGCUGGCGGCAUGCCUUACACAUGCAAGUCGAACGGUAACAGGUCUUCGGAUGCUGACGAGUGGCGAACGGGUGAGUAAUACAUCGGAACGUGCCCGAUCGUGGGGGAUAACGCAGCGAAAGCUGUGCUAAUACCGCAUACGAUCUACGGAUGAAAGCGGGGGAUCGCAAGACCUCGCGCGGACGGAGCGGCCGAUGGCAGAUUAGGUAGUUGGUGGGAUAAAAGCUUACCAAGCCGACGAUCUGUAGCUGGUCUGAGAGGACGACCAGCCACACUGGGACUGAGACACGGCCCAGACUCCUACGGGAGGCAGCAGUGGGGAAUUUUGGACAAUGGGCGCAAGCCUGAUCCAGCCAUGCCGCGUGCAGGAUGAAGGCCUUCGGGUUGUAAACUGCUUUUGUACGGAACGAAAAGGCUCUCUCUAAUACAGGGGGUGAAUGACGGUACCGUAAGAAUAAGCACCGGCUAACUACGUGCCAGCCGCCGCAGUAACAC
rnacentral:rRNA from 1 species